ensembl:lncRNA
GAGAAGACCACCCAGCUCCUCUUCCGAGGGGCCCAGGCCUACAUGGACCACGCGUGGGAGGAGGGCUGUGCCACCGUUGACCUGCCGGAAUCCCCGAAGCCCGGCCCCACGGAAGCCCCUCGGGCCUCGCGGGGGCAGAUGCUCAUCGGGCCCGACGGCCGACUGACCAGGAGCCGAGCCCAGGCCUCUGAAGCUGAGCCGGCCGGGGCCGCGUCGGGGGCCUGCUCGUCGUGCGUGCGUGCCGCGGACGGGAAGGCGGCGUGUGGCCAGUGUGAGCGAGCCCUGUGCGGGCGCUGCGUGCACACCUGCUGCAGCUGCGGGGCCCUGGCCUGCCCCCUGUGCGCCGUCGUGGACUGCAGCAACAUUCAGGAGAAAGUGCUGUGUGCCAGCUGUGCCGUGUUCGAGACCUGAGGCAGGAGUGGACAGCGGCCUUGCCUGGACAACCCCGCUGGUCUCCUGCCACUAACUUCCUCCUCGAGGCGUCAAAGAGAAGCCGGGCCCAGCGGUUCCAAGCCCAGGGGCGCAUCUACCUCCCACCUCGCGUCUGCACAGCGCAAUAUUAUUCAGCCCUAAAAAGGAAGGAGCUCCUGGCACGGGCUACAGCACGGAUGGCCCUGUGGACACCUCACUGAGUGCAGUGGCCCAGUCACAAAGUAACAGACCCUAUGUGACUCCGCUUCCGUGAGGCCCCUGGAGACAGUGGAAGGUGGGGGCCGGGAGGCUGGGGCUGGGUGUCAGCUUUUGAUGAAGAGCUCCGGAUGAGAGGCACGACCACCCGGAUGUACUUAGCGCAGCCAAGUGGGGCUCCCGUGUGCCUCAGCCAGUUAAGAACCCAGCACAGUGUCCAUGACAGUGUGGGUUCGAUCCCUGGCCUCGCCCAGUGGGUUAAGGAUCCGGCGUUGCCAUGAGCUGUGGUGUAGGUCACAGACACAGCUUGGAUCUGGUGUUGCUGUGGCUGUGGCGUAGGCUGGAGGCUACAGCUCCAAUUUGACCCCUAGCCUGGGAACCUCCAUAGGCCACGGGAGCGGCCCUAAAACAGCAAAACAGAAAAGUCACUUGGAGCAUAAAGAUGCAAGCGAAUUGAAAGUGAAAGGACGGACUUGGCUGGACGCCGACCCAUCUUUGAGCAGCCUUCCCUGGGGGGGCGGCUACCUGAGGCAGGCCCUCCCUCCGCCACCGCGAUGCCCCAGCCGGACACCCGGCCUGAAGCCCCAGACCCCCAUCUGCAGCACCCAGUCAGAGCCUCUCCGCAUACCUGCCGAAACGUGGGCGCUCCAGGUGCUGAAGGCACUUCUGCUCCUGGCUUCCUCUCCUCUGGAGGCUGGCCUGGUGCGGGGAAGGGCAGGGCGGGAUGGGAGGGCGUUGCCGCCUCCAUGCAUGCCAGGCUGCGGGACUGCAGCUCUGCUGGUCCUCACUGUCCCAGGCCACAACUCACCAGGCCCCUCCGGGCCUGCCCUGGCCCCGGAGUUCUCUCCCCGAGGAGCCGGCUCCCUGCCUGGGCUGCUGCAGGUGCCUGCAGGGACUGCCCCCACCUCCUGGAAGGUCAGGGCAUUCUCUGGGUGUCCACCCUUCGCUCAUUUCCUCCUGGCCUCCUGGUUGUGUUUGUGUCCAGGCUCAUGACCUUGAGCCUGUCCCAGGCCACAGGAAUGCCCUUAAGGCCAUCUCCCAGUCAGCCCCAACCCCCAGCCACCCCAUCCCCAAAUCAUCCGUCAUCCCCCAGUCACCCCAACCUCAUCCCCCAAGGGGGUCCUUUGGGAAGAAGAGCUGGUGCCCCUCUCCCUGGCAGGCUGGGCCCCUGAUCCUCGGCUCCAGCUUGAGCCACCUCCCGGUUUUUCACACCACGCCUGCCACUUUGGGGCACCAUUUGCUCAAAGUUUGAGGAUAAUGGGAGGCUACUGCUGUAUUUUCUGGUUUCUGAAAUAUACAUUUUUCUUUUUUAUUGUG